rnacentral:rRNA from 1 species
AUUGAACGCUGGCGGCAGGCCUAACACAUGCAAGUCGAGCGGAGCGGCGGACGGGUGAGUAAUACCUAGGAAUCUGCCUGGUAGUGGUGGAUAACGUUCGGCAACGGACGCUAAUACCGCAUACUAUCAGAUGAGCCUAGGUCGGAUUGGCUGGUUGGUGAGGAAAUGGCUCACCACGGCUACGAUCCGUAACUGGUCUGAGAGGAUGAUCAGUCACGUUGGAACGGAGACACGGUCCAGACUCCUACGGGAGGCAGCAGUGGGGAAUAUUGGACAAUGGGCGAAAGCCUGAUCCAGCCAUGCCGCGUGUGUGAAGAAGGUCUUCGAAUUGUAAAGCACGUUAAGUUGGGAGGCGUUACCGACAGAAUAAGCACCGGCUAACUCUGUGCCAGCAGCCGCGGUAAUAC